AGAUUAAAUGAGUAUAGAUAGAAAUUGAUUAUUAGGGCAUGCACAAUAACAGUCAGUACCUAUGUAUUAGUAAGUGUCUACCUGUCGUGUCUAUCGUGCGUAUUUUUGUAGGUUUUUAAAAAUGUCUCAAAAACGAAAAUUAAAUCAUUUUACUAUAGCUGACAAAGUUCAUGUGAUACAAUUGAUGGAGAAAGAUAACAGGAAACAACAAGACGUCGCGAAAGAAUUUAAUAUUCCAACAAAUACGGUGUCAACAUUUUUAAAAAAUAAGGCGGAUAUUUAAAAAAAAGAUGAAGAUAAUAAAGGUGACAAUAAUAGGUCAAAAGCAGCCGAAUAUCCAAAUGUAGAGCAAAAAAUGACAACGAAGGUGGUGGUCUAAUCGACUGGAAUAUUCAGAGAUAGCUACAGCUAGAGUGACAGCGACGACAGUCAAAUGUCUUAUGAUUCCAAUGAAACGUCGGGUUCAUUAUAGAAUGUGAAUGGGCCGAAGAGGUGGCGGAUCGAGGUUGAUAAUUGUAGUGCGGAACAACCAAAUAGUAACACAGGAAGAAUGACGGUCCGUCAUACGGUCCAGAAAUGUGGCAGGGAGGGCCCACCUAUUCCAUGGAUUGAGAUUUUUUUAACACAUACUGCCGUAAUGCAUAUUAUUCGAACAAAAAAUGACAACAAAAGUCGAUCUGAAAUCGACAGCGUAUAGACUCACCCACGAAACAUAUUUACAAUCACCUUGAAAUGUGUUUAUUUUGAAAAUAGGGGUCGGUAUAUGGUCGUUUUUUGAACUUUUUAGACAAUCGCAUAAAAGAUUUCCCCCACCUCCACAGCUACCGAUGACGGCGUGUUUGGGACGGCUUGGCAAGAGCGCUACCAGCCAGUACUGUUACAAUUGCAGAAUUGUAUAAACGUUCACUACUUGUGUACUACUACACAGUUGAAUACUCACGAAAUGUCUGGAACAUUCGAAGAAAGCCACAGCGAGAGCGACAGCAACGACGGUCAAGUCUUUUAUGACUUAGAUGCAUCGUCGACGGGCCCAUUACAAUGCGAUUUUUCGCUGGACCUAGUGCCAGCACUCCCCAGGUCGAGAAACAUGGCCCGAAGAGGCGGCGGAAAGAGGUAAUUACAAAGCUCGCAGAGCAUAAUAAUUAGAAAAUAUUGUGUCUGAACCGCAGUUUAGUGGACAUUUUUUUUCGCAUUUUUCUUGUUGGCUCAGAUUUUGACUGUUAUAGGGUAGCUGCAGUUAGGAUGGUUGUGGUGUGAGACAACCCAACACUGUGUGCACAACUAUUGCGGCAGGAAAUACGGCCAGUCAUUCUAUCUAGAAACGUGGCACGGAGGGGCCGGCCAUUCCACUUAUCGAGGUAAUUAUUACGUUACUUGG